rnacentral:rRNA from 1 species
AUUGAACGCUGGCGGCAGGCCUAACACAUGCAAGUCGAGCGGAUGAAGGGAGCUUGCUCCUGGAUUCAGCGGCGGACGGGUGAGUAAUGCCUAGGAAUCUGCCUGGUAGUGGGGGAUAACGUCCGGAAACGGGCGCUAAUACCGCAUACGUCCUGCGGGAGAAAGUGGGGGAUCUUCGGACCUCACGCUAUCAGAUGAGCCUAGGUGGGAUUAGCUAGUUGGUGGGGUAAAGGCCUACCAAGGCGACGAUCCGUAGCUGGUCUGUGAGGAUGAUCAGUCACACUAGAACUGAGACACGCGCCAGAGUCCUGCGGGAGGGACCAGAGGGGAAUAUUGGGCAAUAGGGGGAAGCCUGAUACAGCGAGGCCGCGUGUGUGAAGAAGGUCUUCGGAUUGUAAAGCACUUUAAGUUGGGAGGAAGGGCAGUAAGUUAAUACCUUGCUGUUUUGACGGUACCAACAGAAUAAGCACCGGCUAACUUCGUG